GGGAUGUCAUCCUUGGCUGGCAGGAGCCAGUUUGCUCCAGGUUUUUGCUGUCCUGCCCCUGCCCCCAUGACUGAUGCAGAGGCACAGAAGGGGCCCCUGUAUCUCCGGAGGGGUGAAUCUGCCAGGGACACCUGCUGCGUGGGACAGGCUAAGACCAGACUUCCGGAAAUCCUCCCCGGUCAGCUGCAUCUCCUUCCAAGCUUUGCUUCCCUACUUUGCCUUGCAGGUCCUUCCAGAAGAGCACUCCCCAUCAACCCGCGGGCAGCUGAAUUCCCACCUCAGACUCUGCUCCAAGGGCGCCGUGUCUACGGAGGCGACGCUGAGGAUGGCUUAUCAGGUUGGGUCACUCACCCCACCACGAGGACCUGACCUUAAAUUCUCGGUGCAUCCUAAGUGUGACCCAGAGACCGCCUGCGUCAGAAGCACCUAGAAUGCUGUGGAAGCACCUUCAAUGCAGAUUCCUGGGCCCAACCCUGGUUCCACUGAAUCGGGGUCAGCUGGUGGGCCCAGGAAUUGGCAUUUUCAACAGCUUCCAAUUGUACACCAGAAUACUCAAGCUUGUGACUCCCCUGCUCACUGUUUUCUUCAUCCUUUCUCACUUCCUGCUGAGUACAUAUGUAUUUUACUACUUUUAGAGAUACUUUUACAAUAAAGGCAGUCUUGAAAGUGUGUCCGGAAUUGGUGGGUUCUUGGUCUCGCUGACUUCAAGAAUGAAGGCGCGGACCUGAGUGUUACAGUUCUUAAAGGCGGCACGUUGGGAGUUGUUCGUUUCUCCCGGUGGGCUCGUGGUCUCGCCGGCUUCAGAAGUGAAGCUGCAGACCUUCGCGGUGGGUGUUACAGCCCAUAGAGGCAACGAGUUCGGAAUUGUUCCUUCCUCCCGGUGGGCUCCUGGUCUCGAUAGCUUACAGGAACGAAGCUGCAGACCUUAGCGGUGGAUGCUACAGCUCAUAAAGGUAGUGCAGACCCAAAGACCAAGAGAACAAAACUACCACAACGCAGAACAGAACCCUAGCGGGUUGCCGCUGCUGGCUCAGGCUCCCCCACCCCCAGUUUGUUCUCGGGACAAACCAUCGGUCUAGGAUGAACUCCGUUUUCCACUGGAAGGUCUCAAGAGGCUAAAGGCACCCCACGGGCUUCUCCCCGAGGAAGGGACUGAGGACAGAGGAGGGCCACGGUUGCAAUGAGGACAGCUCCGGCUCAAAAGCGUCCCUGGACCCUUGACUCUCAGCUUGUCUUGUCUUCCUUAAUAAAUUUCAGUUUGCGGGGGAGGGGAGAGGGAUAGCAUUAGGAGAUAUACCUAAUGCUAAAUGACGAGUUAAUGGGU
rnacentral:lncRNA from 10 species